rnacentral:rRNA from 1 species
AUUGAACGCUGGCGGCAGGCUUAACACAUGCAAGUCGAGCGGGGUGAUGGUGCUUGCACUAUCACUUAGCGGCGGACGGGUGAGUAAUGCUUAGGAAUCUGCCUAUUAGUGGGGGACGACAUCUCGAAAGGGAUGCUAAUACCGCAUACGUCCUACGGGAGAAAGCAGAGGAUCACUUGUGACCUUGCGCUAAUAGAUGAGCCUAAGUCGGAUUAGCUAGUUGGUGGGGUAAAGGCCUACCAAGGCGACGAUCUGUAGCGGGUCUGAGAGGAUGAUCCGCCACACUGGGACUGAGACACGGCCCAGACUCCUACGGGAGGCAGCAGUGGGGAAUAUUGGACAAUGGGGGGAACCCUGAUCCAGCCAUGCCGCGUGUGUGAAGAAGGCCUUAUGGUUGUAAAGCACCUUAAGCGAGGAGGAGGCUCUUUUGGUUAAUACCCAAGAUGAGUGGACGUUACUCGCAGAAUAAGCACCGGCUAACUCUGUGCCAGCCGCCGCCUAA